rnacentral:rRNA from 1 species
GACGAACGCUGGCGGCGUGCUUAACACAUGCAAGUCGAGCGGUAAGGCCUUUCGGGGUACACGAGCGGCGAACGGGUGAGUAACACGUGGGUGAUCUGCCCCGGACUCUGGGAUAAGCGUUGGAAACGACGUCUAAUACCGGAUAUGAAGCGUGGAGGCAUCUUCUGCGUUUGGAAAGAUUUUUUGGUUUGGGAUGAGCUCGCGGCCUAUCAGCUUGUUGGUGAGGUAAUGGCUUACCAAGGCGACGACGGGUAGCCGGCCUGAGAGGGUGACCGGCCACACUGGGACUGAGACACGGCCCAGACUCCUACGGGAGGCAGCAGUGGGGAAUAUUGCACAAUGGGCGCAAGCCUGAUGCAGCAACGCCGCGUGAGGGAUGACGGCCUUCGGGUUGUAAACCUCUUUUAGUAGGGAAGAAGCGUAAGUGACGGUACCUGCAGAAAAAGCACCGGCUAACUACGUGCCAGCCGCCGCAGUAAAAC